UCAGGAAUUUUAAGGAUAAGGAAUUAAAGCAAUGACAUUUACUGGCAUCCUUACAAAGAUUACACAUGCUUUUCCCAUAAUAGUGAGUAACAGUGAGUGAUGUGCUAGAGAUUUAAGGAGGUUUUAUUCUGGACACUGUAUCAUUACGAAGCAUUCCCCGCAGACAUUAGGGAGGAGAGUGAUUAGAUAGGGAAAAGAUUGGUGUGUGAAUCAGCUGACAGAUCCUUUUGGAGGCUCUCUGGGCUCUUUGUUCUCUUAAGCUUUGCUUUAGUGUGUUGGUCUGAAUUUGGGAAAAUGCAUCUGAGGGAUCCCGGAGCCCAAUCCAAACAUCUGUCUGUUUCACCUCUGCGUCUCUUGAAAUGUGUUGGAAUGUGGAAUCUGAUCAAACUUGCUGCAAGUGUGGAAGAUACAGAAAGUUCAUACAUAAGAACUUGCCCCAGAGCAAAGGCCAGAGUCUCCUCUUUCACUCGAGCAGCUGUUUCACAACAGCACAUUGCAUAGUGCAAGAGAACCUGCAGUAAAACUAGCACAAAACCAUCCCACAGUCAUCUGAAUUCAGAAAGUGGCUUCAGAAUUAUACAAUGUCUUUAGGGAGGUCUUAAGAGUUUCCAAAUAUAAUUUUUUGAUUGUAUUCAAGAUCCCUUUCUCUGAUCUCCGAACACCUAAAUCACACCCAUAGAAUGUGUGAAGUAACAAAAGACUUAUGAGAAUACUUUUAUUAUGUAUUGAAAUGAUGAAUGAUGAUAUUCAUUUUGCAUAUUUACUAAUUAGAACAACAUACCAUUUGUGGUAAAAUAUUUGAGAUUCUUUGAAACAUACCUAAUGCAAUAUGUAGAACAGUAUUUUUGAAUAGUUUAUCUGCAGCUUCAGUGUUUUGAGUGGUUCACCUUCAAAAAGCCAAGGGUGUGAGGUGGUUUAAAUGGUAUUCAGGGCACUGAAUACCAGUUCCGAAUGGAAGGUGUUCUGAAUGGGUUGCAGGGUGUUGCUAGGGUGUGAAGUGGUUUGUAUGGUGUUCUGAAAAGUGUGUAGGGUGUGAGGUGGUUGUUAUGGUGUUCUGAAUAGUGUGUAGGGUGUGAGGUGGUGGUUAUGGUGUUCUGAAUAGUGUGUAGGGUGUGAGGUGGUUGGUAUGGUGUUCUGAAUAGUGUGUAGGGUGUGAGGUGGUUGGUAUGGUGUUCUGAAUAGUGUGUAGGGUGUGAGGUGUUUGGUGUGGUGUUCAGAAUGGUUUGUGGGGAGUUGCUAGGGUUUGAAAUGGUUGGUGUAGGUUCUGAAUAGUGUGUAGGGUGAGAGGUGGUUGGUAUGGUGUUCUGAAUAGUGUGUAGGGUGUGAGGUGUUUGGUGUGGUGUUCAGAAUGGUUUGUAAGAUGUUGUUAGGCUGUGAGUUGGUUGGUAAGGUGUUCUGAAUAGUGUGUAGGG